UACGUAGGGGGCAAGCGUUGUCCGGAAUUAUUGGGCGUAAAGAGCUCGUAGGCGGUUUGUCACGUCUGCUGUGAAAUCCCGAGGCUCAACCUCGGGUCUGCAGUGGGUACGGGCAGACUGGAGUGCGGUAGGGGAGAAUGGAAUUCCUGGUGUAGCGGUGGAAUGCGCAGAUAUCAGGAGGAACACCGAUGGCGAAGGCAGUUCUCUGGGCCGUAACUGACGCUGAGGAGCGAAAGCGUGGGGAGCGAACAGG
rnacentral:rRNA from 1 species